rnacentral:rRNA from 1 species
CAACUUUCAGCAGUGGAUGUCUAGGCUCGCACAUCGAUGAAAAACGCUGCGAACUGCGAUACGUAAUGCGAAUUGCAGGAUUCAGUGAGUCAUCCAAAUUUUGAACGCAUAUUGCACUUCCGGGUUAAUCCUGGAAGUAUGCCUGUAUCAGUGUCCGUAC